rnacentral:pre_miRNA from 1 species
GUUGUACUCCCUCCGUUCGGAAUUACUUGUCGCGAAAAUGGAUGUAUCUAGAUGUAUUUUAGUUCUAGAUACAUCCAUUUCCGAGACAAGUAAUUCCGAACGGAGGGAGUACAUC